UCCGAGGUUUAAUCAUGAUGUGUAUUGAUGGUUUGUCGUUGGCUGUAAUAUCUGCUCCCCUAACAUAAACCCUCCGCCGUGACCUCAGUCUGCUCCACCAGCCUCCCUGCUGCUGCUGCUCCGUUGUUACAGCUGGAGCGUCACACGUGGAGCUAAUGUGGAGCUAACGUGGAGCUAACGAGGAGCUAACGUGGAGCUAACGAGGAGCUAACGUGGAGCCAACAAGGAGCUAACGUGGAGCUAAUAAGGAGCUAACGAGGAGCUAACGUGGAGCUAACGUGGAGCUAACGUACAUCCAUUCUGGUUUCUGUGUUCCCAAACUACACGAGACUCCUGAGUGAGACCUCGGAAGGGUUUACUUUUAAGUGGGAGCUCCCUGGUGAUGGGAGCAGGAAUUGAGUCAACCAUCAUCAUCAUCAUCAUCAUCUGUCCUAUUUCUCUUACAUGUUUCUCUCCAGCAGCGACAUCACUUCAUGACUCAAUGACCACCCGGCAUGAUAUUGAAGAACAUGGCGCAGAUGUGCUCUGGGCUUUUUCCCGUCUUCAUCCUGUUUAUGGAACCGAUACGACUUCUAGUGAAGUCAGUUAGUCAUCAAGGGACCAAUUACAAAGGUUACAUAACUCCUGUGAACGGACGUCUACGUAAUGCCCUGAGCAGAAGAACACACUGAAUAUAUCUGGAUAAAGUGGUGUCGUGUGUCAGUUGAGAAGUUAAAACACCUGGUGUUUACUGUCCUGUUUUUUUGGGAUGUUAUGUUCUAAUCCCCAAUGGGAAAGCCAAUAUCCAUAUCCAUAACUACACACUGGGUUGUGAAGACUGGGUUAUUGAGGCAACACCGCCCUCUGGUGGUAGACUUAUCUUCACAGCCAUCCAAGGAGGAUGAACUGUGUGUCCACAUAUAAAUAAGAAGGAAUAUGAAGAUUUAAGUUUGUAUUAAUUUAGAUUUUUCAUGGCAAAAAAAUGGAAAUCAGCCAAAGCCUCUGGACAAAUUAUAAUUCACAAAGACGUGACACGAUGCGGCAUCAUGGACUCUGAUGUCUAUUCUAAAAGAUGUUAGAUGAAGAUCUCUAUAUGUAGACACUAACAUGGGAUGGAGUAGAAUAUAAAUGUACGUUUAUACGUACAUUUAAUUCAAUUCAGUUUAUUUUGUAUAGACCUCCUCAAUGUCAAUGCCAAUGUGCAGCACUAAGGCAAUCACCAUCAGCAUCCACAUGAAUAUUAAAAUAUCCUACAAUAAUAACUUUAUCAGUUGUAAGGACUAUUCUGAAUAUGGACCUGGUGGCCGGUAUAUAACAAAUAUAAUUGGCUGUAAUGUUUUCCAGGUUGGAUGAAAGACUAAGAACAAGGCUUUCAAAUGAGUUGUAGUUUAGUUUAGGUUUAGGGUUUAUUAAUAGGCUAGAGUCAAAGAUGGCUGCUACUCCACCUCCUCGACCGGUGCCUCGAGGAAUGUGAGUAUUAAUAUGACUUGGAGGAGUCGAUUCAUUCAGGCAGACAUAUUCUUCAUGGCUCAGCCAGGUUUCAGUUAGACAACAUAAAUCAAUGUGAUUAUCUGAUAUUAAAUCAUUGACUAAUACAGCUUUAGAUGACAGAGAUCUAAUAUUUAGGAGUCCACAUUUAAAUAGUGAAAUAGCUGAAAUAGUGGUGUUAACCUUUAUGAGGUUAUUUUGUACGACUCCUCUUCUGGUUAUUUUUGCUUUAGUUAAUUGAAGUGGCUGUUCUAUAGAGCUGUGGGUGAGUAACUGCUCCAAUGGAAGAGCAGGUGAGACUACAACUCUGCUCCUGCUUCCUCAUCUGAAGGUUUAAGAUUGUCGUCUCCGUGGAAAAUUAUAUUUAGCCCGGCAGUGAGUAUCCACUUGGGAAAGAAUGAAAGCAUUAUCGAGAGAUUUCCUUCAUUUUUGUUACCUCAUGUGGGUCAAGACUCAAAAUCACCUACAUUUCCCAUAAUGCAACCGCACUGUGUCUUCUGUAAUACAAUCCCUACCCAAUAAAGACCCUUAUCUUUGAAACUCCA